CCGCACGCGUGCUACACUGACGCAUACAGCGAGGUUCACCGGCUCCGAAAGGCUGCCGGUAAUCCUCAUGCGUCGUCGUGGGGGGGAUAGAUCUUUGGAAUUUUUGAUCUUGAACGAGGAAUGCCUAGUAAGCGCAGGUCAUCAGCCUGCGUUGAUUAAGUCCCUGCCCUUUGUACACACCGCCCGU
rnacentral:rRNA from 1 species